GGAACAGACCUCCAACCUGUCUGGUUCUAACACCUGCCUAAGGCAAAUGUGGCCUCUGUGACUCCGUGGUCAGGAACACAUGUGGAUGCUGUUUAAAUGCCAGGGAUGGACCGGCUCUGUCUCCUGCAUUCACCGGCAUGUUGUUAGGCAGCCGGGCAGAUCAGAAACUGCUUUAAAAUUAAGCUUAUCUAUUGCUCUCUGUUAUUUUCACAUCCUUCAGCUGAUGAAUUUUCCUCAUUCUUGUGAAAGACUAAUUUCUAUCAAGCUGAUCCAUUGACCGAGUCGUUUAUGCGAAUUAGGACAGACUGAGCAAGGCAUGCCUUGGAGAGGAAUGAACGUGGGUGACCUGUCUACAGGGAAAAGCCUGCACGGUCAGAUUAAUUCCACUGCCCAGAUGUUGUUGGAUCAAGAGGACCCAUACCCGAAUGUCAGAGAUGUGUGCAUCACCCAGAGAUCCAGGACAUGAAAUGUGAGGCUGGGUUGUCUCUCUUGGGAUGUGGGAGCCAGGAGCCAUAUGCGGAUUCGGAGCCAUUCAAGUGUGGCUGGUCCAAAUUGAAGUGUUCCUGGGAUUUCGAAAACGUAUACGCAAAAUAGAAUGUAAAAUAUCUGUGUCAGUGAUACCUUUUUACAACAAAAAUUGUUGAAAUGAUAAUAUU